UGUGGAGGAGGAUCUUAGGAUUGAUCGGUGAUGGCUUUGACUGAUCCUGGUUUUGGAUGAUGCUUUUAUCGAUCAUUGAUGGCUUUGAUGGACGCACUUCUUCUCUGUGCUAUAUAGGUAUUUUGCAAGCGAGUUAUGAUCUGUGAUCUAAGGAUUAGUUGCACGGGAUGGUUGUAGCUAUGUUUGGCUUGUUUCUGGCAUCAGUGGUGUUCAUAUUUUAGUUGUUGGAGUGUCCGGGAAUAAGAGAACCGUACUCUGAUUCUCAGAUAGAUAAUGUAAUGUCGACAAGGUCGAUCAAUGAGAAUGAAGCAAGCAGAAGGUUGAAAUUAGAAGAAUUCAGUAUCCAGUUUGAUGGUUCGUGACUUCUAAUCCUGAUAAUUUGGUGAUUAGCAUUGGAGCUACUAACAAGUAACAAGCCACAGAAGUUGGAUGAUGCAGUGCUUAGGAGAUUGGUUUUGGAUGAUGCUUUUAUCGACAAGUGAUAGCUUUGACUGAUCGUCCUCAGGCGUUUGUAUAGGUUUUGGAUGAUGCUUUUCUCUAUCAAUAUUGAUGGCUUUGACUAAUCCUCCUCCAGCGUUCUCAUGGGUUUUGGAUGAUGAUUUUAUUAAUCAGUGAUGGCUUUGACUACUCUUCUUCAGGCGUUCUCAUGGGUUCCAAUUGGAAUGGAGUAUAUAGUAACUCACAACUAUAAGCUUGCGGACCAGGUUUUGGAUGAUGUUUUAUAUCAAUCAAUGACGGCUUUGAUGGAAACGCUCCUUCUCUAUGCAACGUCUUCACUCUUCAGGGGUGUUUUGGAAGCAAAUUAUUGAUCUGAUCAUUACCUUCUUCUACAUGCUGCUACGUCUUCAGGCAUUGUCACGGGUUCCUCCUUGCUCUAAACGCAUCUCUAUUAGCUUCUGAAUUUUCAGUUUGGUUUGAUGGUGUUCUUUCUAAUUACAUGUUACUUGUCGUUUUUGUUGUGUUGGGAGGAGGAUUCUACGAUUGUUCGGUGAUGGCUUUGACGGAUCCUUGUCACUCUCAUUCAUGUUAUUCUUCUAGGAUUGUGGAGGAGGAUGCUUUGAUGGAUCUUUUUUUCUUCUCUGCGCUACAUCUUCAGAUCGUUGAGGCACCUGAAUUGUUGUGUGGAAGGCUUAAAGAGAGAACUUUGUGGGAGUUUAACUUUCAGGUUUAACAUUGUUCACACACAUUCAGAUGAGAGAUGUUCCACAAAUUCUUUCCUAGACGAAUCUCUCUCUUUGACGCAGAUCGUGGAGGCACCGGGACAGAUAUAGUGAUUUAUGCCAAAUCUUUCUUCUGUUAUUUUGAAGGACACCUUUGAUAUGUCGUCGCCUUCUGUUACCUCUUUGACGGUCGCUUCUUUCCCUUUGUUUUAUUUUUAGUGUUCUUUAUGAUCAGCUAAUGUUUUUCUUUAGUAUGUGGAAACAAACUUAUGCUGAAUUAUUGUAACUGGACUUGAUGGAGAUGUUAUCAGUGAAAAGGAGAAGUUGAGAUGAAGAUUUUGAAAUGGCAAAAUCUAGUAUCUGAAAGACUGGACGCUAUGGGUAAGCGUACAGGUGUUGGAAUCAUGAUCAUUCAUGAUAAACAUGUUGUCACUUGGAGAUCUGAAUAUGUUUUACUCUGGUUCUCAGAUAGAUAGUGUAAUGUCAACAAGGUCAGUGAGAAUGAAGCAAGCAGGAGGUUGAAAUCAGAAUUCCUUAUCCAGUUUGAUGGUGUGACUUCUAAUCCUGAUGAUUUGGUGAUUGGCAUUGGUGCUACUAACAAGCCACAGGAGUUGGAUGAUUCAGUGCUUAGAAGAUUGAUUUGUGCUGGAGGAUCCUACUAAUGAUCGGUGAUGGCUUUACUGAUCCUUGUCACUCUCAUUCAUGUUAUUCUUCUAGGGUUUGGUUUCUAGCUUACAUCUUAUAUAUAUGGUAGGUUCAAUUCAAUAUAUAAGAUUUUAUAGUUCCACCUGAAAAAAAAGUCUUACCACAAGAAGACCAUCACAAUUAUUUCGACUUUGCUCUCAGACGAUUAGUCCAACCCUGGGCGUGCCUUACUGUUGUUGAUAGGUGCACGAUGAAAUUUUCCGAUUAGGAUCCAUCUCCAUCAGCAGUAGAACUUGAUAACUUAAAUUAAAAAUUUUAUUAGUACUCAUCUGUUUUCUGUAUUUUACUAGUUACUUCUCAAGCGCUCUAGUUUUGCAAGUUUGGUAAAUUAGCUGAUUUGGCGGACUAUACACCACGGAAUCUGAGAGUAUUUGAACGAGUUAUUAGCACGCGCUGUAUUUGCGAGUGGAGAAGUUUAUUCACGCGUUGUAGUCUUGAAUCAGUUUGCUUUGGACUUCCGCUGACAUUUAAGUGUGCUUUGGACCUUGGGCCCAUUUUGUUUAUAUUCAACGGCCCAUUUAUAAUUUAAUAUUUUAUUGUUUCAGUUCGUUA